GAGUUUGAUCAUGGCUCAGAUUGAACGCUGGCGGCAGGCCUAACACAUGCAAGUCGAGCGGUAGAGAGAAGCUUGCUUCUCUUGAGAGCGGCGGACGGGUGAGUAAUGCCUAGGAAUCUGCCUGGUAGUGGGGGAUAACGUUCGGAAACGGACGCUAAUACCGCAUACGUCCUACGGGAGAAAGCAGGGGACCUUCGGGCCUUGCGCUAUCAGAUGAGCCUAGGUCGGAUUAGCUAGUUGGUGAGGUAAUGGCUCACCAAGGCGACGAUCCGUAACUGGUCUGAGAGGAUGAUCAGUCACACUGGAACUGAGACACGGUCCAGACUCCUACGGGAGGCAGCAGUGGGGAAUAUUGGACAAUGGGCGAAAGCCUGAUCCAGCCAUGCCGCGUGUGUGAAGAAGGUCUUCGGAUUGUAAAGCACUUUAAGUUGGGAGGAAGGGCAGUUACCUAAUACGUGAUUGUUUUGACGUUACCGACAGAAUAAGCACCGGCUAACUCUGUGCCAGCCG
rnacentral:rRNA from 1 species